UCCAAACCCAUAAUCUUUCAACUCAAUAACUUCAAAUUUAAAUUCACAACAUUUUGAACUCAAAAAAAAAAAAAAAAAAAAAUCUCCAAAUCCAUUCUUGUUGUUAUGGCUACAGAUGCAAACUCAAUAACACACUCUAUAUAUUCGGUUCCAUGGUUUUGUCUAAAUAGUCCAUUAGAAUUCUUGCACUUGUUACAACUUCAAACUUUUACAAUAAAAAACAUAAACAUAGAAACCCUUUGUUGUCAAACUCUAUUAAAAUUCAUUUUCACAAAAUCAUGGGGACGUGCCUCCUAACUACGAUCCAUUCCCACUUCCCCUCCAAAUCGAAGCAUGACUCUAAUAUCAUUUGUUGGGGAUUCCAGGGACACAUGAGCAACAACGGGACAAAUGCUCCAAGAAGAAUUUGAUACCACAUCUCUACCCAAAGCCUUACGACAAUGAGUAUUGUGCCACAUCUAUUAUAUAUCCAACGUUUAGCUCAUUUUUAGUCAAUGUGGGACUUAACCACUCACACUUAAACCCAACAAUUUUUCCCACAAGUGGAGUCUCCCAAACCUUAUAUUCUUGCCCGUCAUUAUUACAAACGGGACCCACCUCUUAACUACACUGUUAAGAAGACUUUUGACACAUGGAUCCAACAACAUGAUCCACUUUCGCUUCCCCUCCAAGUCGAACCAUGACUCUGAUAUCACUUAUUGGGGAGUCUUGGGACGCAAGACCAACAACAAGCUAAAUGCUCCAAGACCACAAGAGACUUUGAUACCACAUCUCCACCAAAAACCUUAAGGUAAUGAAUGAGUAUAUGUGCCACGUCUCUUAUAUAUCCAAUGUUUAGCUCAUUCUUAAUCAAUAUAAGACUUAACCAUUCACACUUCAACCCAAUAAUCUCCACCUCAAAUGUUUGAGAAAAUAAACAAACAAAUAAAUUUAAAUAAUAAUAAAAAACAAGAAAAUAACGUGGAAACUCCAAAAUCGAAGAAAAAACCACGACUAUUAAUGACAAUCUGAGAAUAACACUAUGUAAAAAUUGUCACAACACAUAGAAUUCUCUCAAACAAUCCAUGAUACUCAGUACACUUGCACUCUGCAAAGCAAAUAUUUGAACUGCAUCUCUUAACACUCCAACACAAAAGUAUAAGAAAAAAGAAAAGAAUCAGAUACAAGUUGAAAGUAUUUCUGACUGGUACAAUUUGUAUUGAAGAACUAGAGUCAUAUAUAUAGUCUUAAACUCCCCCUUCAUUUACAAUUCCAAGAAAUGUGGGACUAUUUCAACAUUAUCCAAUUUUAACCAAACUCAUCAAUUUCCUCUUUGAUUUAAAUUGGUGCAUCUUUGGCUUUCAUUGUCUAAAUCGAUAACCAUGGUAUAAAAGGACUAUCAUACUCCACCAUAAAAGGUAUAUUUUAUAUGAAGCUAAACCACUCCAAGAAUUUACACUUGAAGCUAAACCACUUCAAGAGUUUCUUCUACAUUCCGAAAACCAUGGUGAAAUAUAUGGUGCAAUUUCAAUGUUGGCUUUCUUUGGUAGUUUUUUCAAUAGCCAACAUAAUUUUACAGCAUACCUUGCAUCAAUGACAACAAAUGCACUUGUGCCAAUCAACAUAUGUGUAUUGUAACUUGACGUAUUGUAAUUGUGCACCAGAUAGGUUCUCAAGAAAGAGAGGUGAGCCACAAAGAACCACUUAAUAACCAAAUAUUUCCUUAGCCAUAACAUUGCCUAAACAACAUUUCUAUAGUAUAACCUUUUUUUUUAUGUGGUAGAUCAAACAAAGCUGCAACCACAAAGCAUACUAAGAACUAUAUUUUCCUAUACUGAACCAAAAGCUCUGAUGCCAAAUGUUGAGAAAAUAAACAAACAAAGAAAUUUAAAUAACAAUUAGAACACAAGAAAAUAACAUGAAAACUCCAAAAUCGGAAGAAAAAAAAAUCACGAUUGUUGUUUAAUGACAACCAGAGAAUAAUACUAUGUGAAAAUUGUAAUAACACAAAUACUUCUCUCAAACAACCCCAUGGCUCCCAAUACACUUACCUCUGCAAUGCAAAUAUUUGAAUAAUAGCUCAUAACACUUUAACAAAAGAGUGUAAGAGAAAAGAAAAGAAUCAGAUACAAGCUUGAAGUGUUUUGGACUAGUGAGAUUUGUAAUGAAGAACUAAUCAAUAUAUAUAGCCUUAAGUUCUCCCAUUGUUUACAAUUCUAAACAAUGUGUGACUAUUUUAACAUUCUCCAAUUUCAACCAAAUCCAUCAUAUUUUUAAUUUUUAGGACUUUAAAAGGUUAUGAGUAUUGUUUGAUGAAUUUUAUAGAUUUUUAGAUUGAAGUAAAUCAUAGAUUUUUGGGUUUAAAGAUGACAAAACUUAAUGUUUUUAGACAACAAACAACGGAAAUGACUAAUUUAACCAACAUAAGUAUAAUUAAGAAACCAAAACGAAACCAAAAAUAUUUAAGGAGGUAAAAUGAAACUAAAAAUUAAGUUAAAAAUCUAAAAAGAGUAAUUUAAUCUUAAAAAAAAUAAUAUUUGAUUAAAAUUUACUAAAAAUAACGAGAUCUACCUUUCAACAUGACCAUUGAACAACCUGCAACUUUUAAUGAUAUUAAAAAUAAAAUAAAAUAUGAUAACGUAAAAUAAAAUAAAAUAAGAUUGAAAGAAACAAUAAAUGUUAAAACUAAAUAAAAUAACAUCAAGUAAUAUACGAUAGGUUCAAAACAAAUAAAUUAAAUUAAAACAGGGUAAAUUAGAAAAGAUAAUAUCAAAUAAUGGUACAAAAUAAAAUAAAAUAAAAAUUUAAAGUGUCUAAAUUAAUUUUAAAUUGUUUUAUCGAACAUUGUAAAAUUAAUUACUGACAAACCAAAAUGUAUUGCGCUAAAAAUACUUACAACGCUUACUUAUAUUGAAACACUUCUAAUUUUAGCAAAAAUGAAUUUUGAUUCUCCUAUUUUUAAAAUUAUUGUUUUGGUUCAUAUUAAGGUCAUUUUUUUUUUAUCGAAUAAGCUACGUAAACUCAAUUUAUGUAUCAUUCGUGAACUUAAUUUAUUAUGUAGGUAAAUUUAAUUUUAUACGUGAAUUGAUAAGUAACUUAUUUGGAUGUAACUGAAAAAAAUAAGGAGUGUGACUAACAACAAUAUAAAUAAAAUUAAUGACAACAAUUAAGUGCCACAUUAUUUAAAGAGUUUAAUUACUAUGUACUAACAGUACCGUAAUUUUUUUUAAAGAGUCAAACAUUUCUAAUGAUUUGGAGGCUGAGAUUGACUGACAGUGGAAAAGAACUUUAAAUUGUGGAUGUAUACAAAUUAAUCCUUAUAAUUUAAAAUGGUGGGAACAAAAAAAUUCUAAAAUUUAGUGGAUCGGAAUAUGAUAUUAUGAUCACUCGAAAGAAAGAAUUAAGAGAUGAAGCAUAAAGGAGAGAAAG
rnacentral:lncRNA from 1 species